AUACGUACCGUACAAACGUUAUUCGGAAUCACUGGGCUUAAAGGGUGCGUAGGCGGCGUGGUCAGUUGGGUGUGAAAUCCCUCGGCUCAACCGAGGAACUGCGCCCAAUACUGCCACACUCGAGGGAGACAGAGGUAAGCGGAACUGAUGGUGGAGCGGUGAAAUGCGUUGAUAUCAUCAGGAACACCAGUGGCGAAAGCGGCUUACUGGGUCUCUUCUGACGCUGAGGUACGAAAGCUAGGGUAGCGAACGGGAUUAGAAACCCCGGUAGUCC
rnacentral:rRNA from 1 species